AACCGCGAGGUGGAGCAAAUCCCUAAAAGCCAUCCCAGUUCGGAUCGCAGGCUGCAACCCGCCUGCGUGAAGUUGGAAUCGCUAGUAAUCGCGGAUCAGCAUGCCGCGGUGAAUACGUUCCCGGGCCUUGUACACACCGCCCGUCACACCAUGAGAGUCGGGAACACCCGAAGUCCGUAGCCUAACUGCAAAGGGGGCGCGGCCGAAGGUGGGUUCGAUAAUUGGGGUGAAGUCGUAACAAGGUACC
rnacentral:rRNA from 1 species